GUGCCAGCAGCCGCGGUAAAACGUAGGAGGCGAGCGUUAUCCGGAUUUACUGGGUGUAAAGCGCGUGCAGGCGGUCGGAUAAGUUGGGUGUGAAAGCUCCUGGCUCAACUGGGAGAGGUCGCUCAAGACUGUCGGACUGGAGCGUGGUAGGGGAAGGCGGAAUUCCAGGUGUAGUGGUGAAAUGCGUAGAUAUCUGGAGGAACACCAGUGGCGAAAGCGGCCUUCUGGACCACGACUGACGCUCAGACGCGAAAGCUAGGGGAGCAAACGGGAUUAGAUACCCCCGUAGUCC
rnacentral:rRNA from 1 species